rnacentral:rRNA from 1 species
AUGCAAGUCGAACGAUGAACCGGAGCUUGCUCCGGGGAUUAGUGGCGAACGGGUGAGUAACACGUGGGCAACCUGCCCCAGACACCGGGAUAACCUUCCGAAAGGAUGGCUAAUACCGGAUACGACCACUUCGGGCAUCCGACGGUUGGUGGAAAGGAUUCUGGUCUGGGAUGGGCCCGCGGCCUAUCAGCUUGUUGGUGGGGUAAUGGCCUACCAAGGCGACGACGGGUAGCCGGCCUGAGAGGGCGACCGGCCACACUGGGACUGAGACACGGCCCAGACUCCUACGGGAGGCAGCAGUGGGGAAUAUUGCGCAAUGGGCGAAAGCCUGACGCAGCGACGCCGCGUGAGGGACGAAGGUCUUCGGAUUGUAAACCUCUUUCAGCAGGGACGAAGCGAAAGUGACUGUACCUGCAGAAGAAGCACCGGCCAACUACGUG